rnacentral:rRNA from 1 species
GACGAACGCUGGCGGCGUGGAUUAGGCAUGCAAGUCGAACGGUAUCAUCCUUUCGGGGGUGAGAGAGUGGCGAACUGGUGAGUAACACGUAGGUUAUCUACCCUCAAGACGGGGACAACCCAGGGAAACUUGGGCUAAUACCGGAUGUGAGCAACUUUUAGUUGUUUGAAAGGUGGCGUAAGCUGUCGCUUGGGGAUGAGCCUGCGUCUUAUUAGUUAGUUGGUGAGGUAACGGCUCACCUAGGCAAUGAUAGGUAGGCGGCCUUAACGGGUGGUCGCCCACACUGGGAUUGAGAUACGGCCCAGACUCCUACGGGAGGCAGCAGUCGAGAAUAGUCUACAAUGGUCGGAAGACUGAUAGUGCGACGCCGCGUGAACGAUGAAUCCCUUCGGGGUGUAAAGUUCUUUUAUAUGUGAGCAGUGCUUCUUAUAUUAACAGUAUGGGGAAGAGAUAUUAGCAUAUGAAUAAGCAACGGCUAACUCCGUGCCAGCAGCCCGCGGUAAAACG